rnacentral:lncRNA from 1 species
GAUUCAAGAGGUGUUAAUAAAUCCCUCUUGCCUCCCCAAAUCCUCCUCAAUGAAGCUGCCAUGAAAACUCGAUUGUUGGGUUAAGAAUCAGUUUUUCUGAAGGAGGGUAUUGGGCCAAUCCAUUCUCAGUCAUUGGCUUUUGGUGUGAAGUUAGAAUUUGGGAUGCUGUCAUAGCUUUGAUUGGAUAGAUUUUGCCCACUUUCCUCUAUGAGACAGACAUAGGCCAAAGACUCUCACACCUAUUGGUACUGGUAGGAACAAGGAAGCUCUUCUUGUUAUAGGGGCCAACUACAGCAUUCUGUAGACAGUUGGUACUGAGAGCUCCAUGGUAAAGGGGCACAGGGAUGGCAGAACUGUGGGGAUAAUGCCCAGAGAUUGCAACAUGCCAAGGGACACCCAUGGGUAUUGGAAACCAGGGGAAUCUGAAGACCCAGCAGGAGCUGCUGGGGAAAUGAGACCCAGGUCUGAGAACGGCUAGCUGAGAGCAGGAGGGGCUUGUGUGAGUCUUGCUCAGGAGUUCUGAGCAAACAGGACUGCUCUUGGAAGACAGGGCAAUGGAGGCAGCAAACAAAGACUGUUUUGAACAGGAGGUAAGAAAGUGCUGGCGAGCAUGGUUUAUUUUAUUUGCAGUUUGUCCUAAUAGUUUAUGUCAUUAGCAAUGAAUUAUUUCUGCCCUUUGUUGCUGAUCUGGGCCAUAGAUCUCAUGGAGGACAGGGUGUGGUUACAAAGAUGUAACCACUGGCAACCUGAUCAGAGAUUUUGGAUAAAGAUCUCCAGCUCAUCCUUAAGUCAAGUAAGAAAAGAAUCCCUUGGAAUUUAGAGAAGGGUCUGAAGAGUUUCCCUUCUGUUUUCAGGAAAGCAUCAUCUUACAUGUCAGGAGUAGACACUUGCCAAAGUCUACACCAGCCUCUGGCACCCUCAGGAGGGUCUGGAAAGACAUCUAGGCCCCCUCUCCAAUGAUGUUCAAUUCUGUAUAACACAGCACACUUCUUACCACAGCCCAGCUGGGUACCCCAUUCUCUGAGUUGUCCUUUGCCUCUCAGAAUUCCAUUAUUUUCGUAGCAUUGUGCUUAACAGUGGGACACACUACUGACCUGUACACUUAAGAACGGCUAAGAUGGUUGAUUUCAUGUCAUGCAUAUUUAUCACAAUAAACAAUUUUUUAAAUUAGAAGAUAUAUAUAUAUCUUAUAUAUAUUUAGUUAUAUAUAUAACAUUUAUAUAUAUAUAUAUUUAGAAACUUUAAUAGGCAAGAACUGAGCUGAUGGAGAAAGUUAAAAUAUUAGAAAGAAAAAAGCUAGUCUGAGACAUAGAAAGACUUCAGUCCUCCUAUCAAGGGACUACCUAUAGGGAAAGCAA